CUGUGGACGCAUGGCCUGGGAGUGUCAAUCAUUUUCUCAUGUAAGUGCAUUUACCGCAGAAGGAACAAUGGCGGACGCGGAGGCUUUCGGCGGCUAUCGCUCGACUGCCAACAACUCUUCUAAUCCGAGGAAAUCUGAUAGAGGAAGAAACAAAACUAGGACACACAAUCGAGCGAGGACACCAGACGUGGCGUCAAGUCAGACUCCCUGAGAAACUUGAUAAGACUCAAGAGCGACGUGGCUUCAUUUCUGCUCGACAGGAUACAUCAAGCUCCACGCCUUUGAAAAAAAAAGUCACCUGAGACCACCGCCUCCCGCUGUUUCAACAAUUGGUAUGGGAGAGUCUCUCUGACUGGUGAAAGAUUGUCUGUACAGAGAGCCGUCAGCCAUGUCUUCCUGCAAAUCCUGACUGCAAAUCUGUGGAAGACAGCCUACAGUAGCUCAGGGCUGACAGGAACACCAGUGUAACGGACACGCCAUUAACCAGAUGGCACCCAGCAACCCCAAUCUCGUGCUGUUAAGCAUACUUGCCUCGGCUGCCCCGCUGAGCAUGUGUCCACAGGACAUGUAAGGAAAGCCUGGUCCACUUAUCAAAAGAAGAAGCACGAGAGACUUAACUUCUCACACGGAGGCUAAAUGAAUUACCAGCCAGUCCGAAGGAGCUCAUCAAAGCAGAGACAGGGACAACUGGUUUCUCACUCGGACGCUAAGUUAAUUAACUUUCACCCCCAGCCAGCCUGAAGAGUCUCACCAACAAAGACUUCUUUUUUUGGGACACUGUCUUGAUAACUAAGAAGGUGAAAAACCCGUUGAUUGGUGGUUCCCCAUGAAGCCACAUUGACAUACUCGUGAUUGUAUUUCUGCAAAUUUGAAUGUCUGAUGUCAAAUCUGUUUGUCAACUGAACCGGAUGAGAUGUUUCACCCAACACAACACAAAUACCCAUUCACCCCCUUUUCGGCUGGGUAUAAAGGCCGGAGCCCCCCCCCCUUUGUGGAGAGCACUCGUUCGACCAACUUGCCGAAGACUGGCUCAGCCAGGAAGCCCCACCUCUCACCACGAGGAGCUGAGGACACAUCAGACCCUUCCCCACCGCAGGGCACCCUCCCAGCCCCUGAGCUACUCUUGCGGGUGCCAAGGCAGUUCAGGGGCAAGUUGUGUUGGGAAGGAAGCAGGCGUCGCACGUCUGCUACGAGUGUCUAGCGAACAGCGACACCCAGGCUCCAGCUGCUCAGCCUUGGAACUCUUUUCCCUGCUAUUCUUUUUUCCUUACUCCUUUUUCCGCCAAAUCCACCUGUUGCCCGUGCGGACCAGACCGGCCUCGGGAGAUCGACCAGCCUGCCUAAAUUGUGUUCCACGCACGUAAAUUCAAUUUGGGAACUCCUAAAGUACAGAUUAGUGCAUAUUUGGGUUUAAAUUAACAAAAACAGGAACUUCCAGCUCUAUGCAUUGUCACCCCAUGCUCAUUUCCACCCUUCACAAAUCAGUCUCAAUGUCCGUCUUUCCUUUGUUUUGCUUUUCCUUGCAUCGUUCCCCUGUAGUUGUAAUUAAAUUUUCUAUAAAAAAUCAUUACCUGUAUCAUUUGUGUGUGUUUGGGUUCGACAAAAAAACUCUGGUUAUCGAGAACUCUUAUCUAAUUCCCGUAGCAACCUUUAUAUUACGAGACAUAGAGGUUUUCGUCACUUUGUCCUGACGUUUUACACAUCGAAAAAGAGACGUGGUGCCCCUUUUUGACAUAAAAUAAUUUGGGUUUAACGCUGAAAUUUCAAAUCACGCAAAACCGGAAGUAACACAGGUGUUGCUUCCGGCUUAUUUUUUUCUCCUAAAUUAAUUACAUUUUUAUCUAAACCAAUAUACACUACACCAGCUUGAAGUUACUCUAUAGCGCACAGACCCUAUCCAGAUCAGUCAAAUGUGGCACGCCGAUACUCAACUCUGCUGCUCAAACUCAAAUUUCCUUACUUUUUGUGCCAUGUUUAUAUAUAAUUAUGCAUAUUUUUGUAAAUGUCUUUUUAUUUGUUUAAAUGAAUGAAUGGCAGGAUGACUGGAUUGGGUGACGAAUGAAGCAGUGGAUGGUAGGAUGGAAAGAGUGUACCAUAUGCAGGAAUGUUAGCAGUCUUUUCUCCCCCAACAGUUAGCCAACUGCUCUGCCUGAGAGUAACAUAUGUGGCCCAACAACCAACCUGCGGCAAAACGCUAGGAAACAAGAACCUCCACUGAGAACAAAUAUGGACAGGAUGGAUGGUUUCAAAGAUGGAUGGGUUGUAAAUUCAAGUUAAGAGUUGAGGCCUGACCUGUUUUAUUUAUUGGACAUUACAUA